AUACGUAGGUGGCGAGCGUUGUCCGGAAUUACUGGGCGUAAAGGAUGCGUAGGUGGAUAUUUAAGUGGGAUGUGAAAUCCCCGGGCUCAACCCGGGAACUGCAUUCCAAACUGGGUAUCUAGAGUGCAGGAGAGGAAAGCGGAAUUCCUAGUGUAGCGGUGAAAUGCGUAGAUAUUAGGAGGAACACCAGUGGCGAAGGCGGUUUUCUGGACGGUAACUGACACUGAGGCAUGAAAGCGUGGGUAGCAAACAGGAUUAGAUACCCUGGUAGUCCACGCCGUAAACGAUGGGUACUAGGUGUAGGAGGUAUCGACCCCUUCUGUGCCGUCGUUAACACAAUAAGUACCCCGCCUGGGGAGUACGGUCGCAAGACUAAAACUCAAAUGAAUUGACGGGG
rnacentral:rRNA from 1 species